rnacentral:misc_RNA from 1 species
UUGAUCCUUUUGUAUUAUUCAGACAACACACAGAUUACUGCAUAAAAGCGACGUCCGAAAAGGACGCCGAAGCACAUUGUUUGCUUCCACAGGUUUGAAGGGUUGAAGGCCAAAAGGCCAUUCAGUAAUGAUCCCUCCGCAGGUUCACCUACGGAGA